UCCCUGAUCCGUGGUUUCCCUUUCCAAAGUUUCAGUGACCCACGGGCAACCACAGUCCAAAAUUAUUAAAUGGAAAAAUCCAGAAGUAAACAAUGCAUAAGUUUUAAAUUGUGCGCCAUUCUGAGUACCAUGAUGAAAUCUUGAGCCACCUGGUGGCUGGGAUGUGAACCAUCCCUUUGGCCAGUGUAUCCCACCCAUUAGUCACUUAGUAGCCACCUAGGGUAUCAGAUCACCGGUCGUAGUGUCACAAUGCUGUGUGCAAGUGACCCUUAAGUCACUUAAUAUUGGCCCCUAGGUGCAAGAGUUGGGAUGCUGGUGAUUUGAAUAUGCCAGAGAGGAGCCAUUAAGCACUUUCUGUAAGUGAGAGGUGAAAGUUCCUGACUUAAUAAGGAAAGGAAAAAAAUCGUAAGUUGAAGUUGCUAUGAGCUACAGCAAGAACAAAUAAUCUAUCUGUGAGAUCACGAAGAAAGAAACAUCUUCAUGUUUUGCUGUUGCCUCUCAAACUGCAAAGGUUAUGGCCACAGUGCAUGAAGCUGGAAAAGGCGUGAAAGCAGAGUCUCUCCCAGAACCUCCAGGAAGAACACAACCCUGUCACCAUUUUGAUUUUAGGACUUCUGACCUUCAGAACUGACCACACUGAAUUUCAGGACUGCUGAGAGAAGCAGCUGGAAGUCAAGAUGACUGUGAUUCUUCACCAUUGUUGUCUCCAAUGGAAAGAUCCUAAGGCAAAGUAGUUUAAAGCACAACAUGCCUUCAUACUGUCUCCCCUAUCCUAAUUAAAGGGCCUAUUUUACUGCAAGUCUUCAGAUAAUUGCUUCACUCCUCCAGUUAAUUUCUCACAUGUAGAUACAAACAUUCUGGGUUGCUCAAAAAAGUCAACACAUUUUUCUCCAGGUUCUUCUCCUCCUCUUUAGAGUAACUCAAGGAGUAACAUCCAUAUAUUC